AACGGUCUAUACCUGCGGUACCUGCGGAGGGAUCAUUAUCAAUGCAAAGCCCUCGAAUCUCGUUUUUCGAGGUGUCUUUGAUUAACUUUCUUCUUUUUCCUCCACUCGAGGGAUUUGAAGGAAUCCACUGUGAUCUGUCUCGAGCCUUCUCUUUAUGAGAAAGCUGCAACCCGGUUUUUUCCUUGGAAACAAUCGGGGGUGGGGCCUCCAAGGUCCUGCCAUUCAGUAUACUUUAUGAAA
rnacentral:misc_RNA from 1 species